GUCCAAACUAGACUGGAGCAGAUCUUUAAGGAUAACCUUGGUGGGAAGGCAGAUUUCAUAAGCUGAAGACAGAGCAGACCCUUUCUUUUUCUACCUUGGGCGAGGACUUGACCGUGAAGUGAGAUAGACCUGGUCUCAGACGCUGGUUCCAGCGCUACUAGCUAGGUAACCAGCUGCUGGCACCUGCAUGUCGACGAGUUCAGGACCCAGGAGGAGAGAACUUGAAGGCCACCAGUGACCUCCCUCUGGGUCAAAUGGAAC